rnacentral:rRNA from 1 species
UACGUAGGGGGCAAGCGUUGUCCGGAAUCAUUGGGCGUAAAGCGCGUGUAGGCGGCUCGGUAAGUCCGCUCUGAAAGUCCAGGGCUCAACCCUGGGAUGCGGGUGGAUACUGCCGGGCUCGAGUCCGGAAGAGGCGAGUGGAAUUCCCGGUGUAGCGGUGAAAUGCGCAGAUAUCUGGAGGAACACCGGUGGCGAAGGCGGCAUCCUGGACCGGUAUUGACGCUGAGGCGCGAAAGCCAGGGGAGCAAACGGG